rnacentral:misc_RNA from 1 species
AACGCAAAUUGCGCUCGAGGCUUCGGCCAAGAGCAUGUCUGCCUCAGCGUCGGGUUAAUACUCACAUUCGCACUCCAUCCAGAGGGCACAUGUGGAUCUGGCUGUCUCGGUUUAUUUUAAUUACUUAACCGGGUCAGCUGAAGUGCAGAUGUCAAGGCGUGGACCGUUAACUCGGGAUUCUACUGGGUAGGCUACUUGUGUGUAGUAUUGCUUAAUUUGCUAGAUGGUGUACUGUCUUUGUCACGAAGCGGGAGUAACAGUUCAAACAAGUACAACUAAUCCCAUUUUCUCGACCUGAGCUCAGGCAAGAUUACCCGCUGAACUUAA